rnacentral:misc_RNA from 1 species
UCCCCGUUAUCCUGGGCAGUCCUUCCAGUGCAUGUCAAGCCUUGGUAAGGUUCUUCGCGUUGCGUCGAAUUAAACCACAUGCUCCGCUGCUUGUGCGGGCCCCCGUCAAUUCCUUUGAGUUUUAGCCUUGCGGCCGUACUCCCCAGGCGGGGUGCUUAAUGCGUUAGCUUCGGCACGGACGGAGUCGACACCGCCCACACCUAGCACCCAUCGUUUACGGCGUGGACUAC